rnacentral:rRNA from 1 species
ACGGGUGAGUAACACGUGGGUGAUCUGCCCUGCACUUUGGGAUAAGCCUGGGAAACUGGGUCUAAUACCGAAUAUGACCGCAUUCUUCAUGGGGUGUGGUGGAAAGCUUUUGCGGUGUGGGAUGGGCCCGCGGCCUAUCAGCUUGUUGGUGGGGUAAUGGCCUACCAAGGCGACGACGGGUAGCCGGCCUGAGAGGGUGACCGGCCACACUGGGACUGAGAUACGGCCCAGACUCCUACGGGAGGCAGCAGUGGGGAAUAUUGCACAAUGGGCGCAAGCCUGAUGCAGCGACGCCGCGUGAGGGAUGACGGCCUUCGGGUUGUAAACCUCUUUCAGCACAGACGAAGCGCAAGUGACGGUAUGUGCAGAAGAAGGACCGGCCAACUACGUGCCAGCAGCCGCGGUAAUACGUAGGGUCCGAGCGUUGUCCGGAAUUACUGGGCGUAAAGAGCUCGUAGGUGGUUUGUCGCGUUGUUCGUGAAAUC